rnacentral:rRNA from 1 species
GACGAACGCUGGCGGCGUGCUUAACACAUGCAAGUCGAACGGAAAGGCCCUGCUUUUGUGGGGUGCUCGAGUGGCGAACGGGUGAGUAACACGUGAGUAACCUGCCCUUGACUUUGGGAUAACUUCAGGAAACUGGGGCUAAUACCGGAUAGGAGCUCCUGCUGCAUGGUGGGGGUUGGAAAGUUUCGGCGGUUGGGGAUGGACUCGCGGCUUAUCAGCUUGUUGGUGGGGUAGUGGCUUACCAAGGCUUUGACGGGUAGCCGGCCUGAGAGGGUGACCGGUCACAUUGGGACUGAGAUACGGCCCAGACUCCUACGGGAGGCAGCAGUGGGGAAUAUUGCACAAUGGGCGGAAGCCUGAUGCAGCAACGCCGCGUGCGGGAUGAAGGCCUUCGGGUUGUAAACCGCUUUCGCCUGUGACGAAGCGUGAGUGACGGUAAUGGGUAAAGAAGCACCGGCUAACUACGUG